rnacentral:rRNA from 1 species
AGAGUUUGAUCCUGGCUCAGAUUGAACGCUGGCGGCAGGCUUAAUACAUGCAAGUCGAACGGUAACAGCAAAAAGCUUGCUUUUUGGCUGACGAGUGGCGGACGGGUGAGUAAUACCUAGGAAGCUGCCUGAAUGAGGGGGAUAACACCUGGAAACGGGUGCUAAUACCGCAUAAUGCCUACGGGCCAAAGGGUGGGUAACCACUCGCAUUCAGAUGCGCCUAGGAGGGAUUAGCUAGUUGGUGGGGUAAAGGCCUACCAAGGCGACGAUCUCUAGCUGGUCUGAGAGGAUGACCAGCCACACUGGAACUGAGACACGGUCCAGACUCCUACGGGAGGCAGCAGUAGGGAAUAUUGCACAAUGGGGGAAACCCUGAUGCAGCCAUGCCGCGUGUGUGAAGAAGGCCUUCGGGUUGUAAAGCACUUUCAGAUGGGAAAAAAGUAGUAAUUCGAAUAGGUUUGCUAUGUGAUAUUACCAUCAGAAGAAGCACCGGCUAACUCCGUGCCAGCAGCCGCGGUAAUACGGAGGGUGCAAGCGUUAAUCGGAAUAACUGGGCGUAAAGCGCACGUAGGUGGUUCGACAAGUCAGAUGUGAAAGCCCCGGGCUUAACCUGNGAUGUGCAUUUGAAACUGUUGGACUCGAGUACUGCAGAGGGAGGUAGAAUUCCAGGUGUAGCGGUGAAAUGCGUAGAUAUCUGGAGGAAUACCAGUGGCGAAGGCGGCCUCCUGGACAGACACUGACACUGAGGUGCGAAAGCGUGGGGAGCAACAGGAUUAGAUACUCUGGUAGUCCACGCCGUAAACGAUCUCGAUUUGAAGCUUGGACCGAAGAGUCUGGGUUUCGAAGCUAACGCGAUAAAUAGACCGCCUGGGGAGUACGCCCGCAAGGUUAAAACUCAAAUGAAUUGACGGGGGCCCGUACAAUCGUUGGAGCAUGUGGUUUAAUUCGAUGCAAAGCGAAGAACCUUACCUGAACCCGACAUAGUAGGAAUCUCUAAGAGAUUAGAGAGUGCAGCAAGGAGCCUACACACAGUGGGCAUGCCUCUCGUCAGCUCGUGUCGUGAGAUGUUGGGCUAAGUCCCUCAACGAGCGCAACCACUUAUUAUUUGUUGCCAUGCACGUGAUGGAGGGAACUACAAGAGAAGACUCCCUGGUGACCAACCGGAGGAAGGCAGGGAUGAUGUCAAGUCACCAUGUCCGUAACGGUCAGGGUUACACACGUGUUACCAUGGGUCGUACAGAGGGAAGAGAUACCGCGAGAUGGAGCAGUACCCCAGAAAGCGACUCCUACUCUAGGAAUGAAGUAUGCAACUGGACAUUCAUGAACUCCGGAAUCGAAUAGUAAUCGCUGAAUCACGAAUGUCGUCGCAGAAUACGUUCCUCGGGACCUGUACACGCCGCCAGUCAAGGCGAAUUCGUGAACAAUUCAGGAUGAGUCCAUUAUUGAGGUAUUUGAGUUGCAUCGG